AAUUGAUCACUGAGGGCAAUGCUAGCCUCAGCAUUGAAGAUGGAGGAAUGGUACUACUGUUAAAGUCACAGGAGACGACCUGGUCCUCCGUGAAGCCUAGGAUGCCCUUGAGUGGGCCCUCUGAUGCCUGCUUCUCCACCUUGCUGACGUCAUCAUAUUCG
rnacentral:lncRNA from 1 species